rnacentral:rRNA from 1 species
GAUGAACGCUGGCGGCGCGCCUAACACAUGCAAGUCGAACGGCACCCCUCCUCGGAGGGAAGCGAGUGGCGAACGGCUGAGUAACACGUGGAGAACCUGCCCCCUCCCCCGGGAUAGCCGCCCGAAAGGACGGGUAAUACGGGAUACCCCGGGGUGCCGCAUGGCACCCCGGCUAAAGCCCCGACGGGAGGGGAUGGCUCCGCGGCCCAUCAGGUAGACGGCGGGGUGACGGCCCACCGUGCCGACAACGGGUAGCCGGGUUGAGAGACCGACCGGCCAGAUUGGGACUGAGACACGGCCCAGACUCCUACGGGAGGCAGCAGUGGGGAAUCUUGCGCAAUGGGGGGAACCCUGACGCAGCGACGCCGCGUGCGGGACGGAGGCCUUCGGGUCGUAAACCGCUUUCAGCAGGGAAGAGUCAAGACUGUACCUGCAGAAGAAGCCCCGGCUAACUACGUG